UUAUAAUUUGUAAGUAUUAAAUUAUUACUUACAAUUUUUUUUUUUUUGCUUAUUUGCUAUCAAAUGACAAGUUUUGAUGGUAGUAGCUCAUCUUCAAAAUCAAGCAAGCAAAAAAAUAUUUUUUGCAAUAUUUCUUCAAAUGGAAUCUUUAACAUUGAUGAUUGUCCAACUCAAGAAAGUCAACACAAGACAACCAUUUGAUAGUGUAAUAUAUUUUUUAAUUUGACAAUGUAAUGUACUUUUCAUAAAAUUUAUAUUAUCUAUUUAUUACUUCUUACUUUGUAGAAUAAUAAUAAAAUUAAAAUAUGCUCUUUAUUUUGUAUUUAUUUUUUUACAUGUUAUUUGAAAUUUUAAAUAUAUUGUAAUAUUCAUAUUAAAAUUGGUAAGGAUAAGGAAUUAAAUAAAAUUGUAUACAACCAUACGGAACUGAAAACUAGAACCAGAACUAUAAGGAACAAAAAUUAGAACUAUGCGGUUCUGGUUCUACCUCUUUGAAGAACCAGAACCGACGGUUCUGGAACCGAACUGUGGGUUCUAGAAUCGUGGCCAUGCCUAACUGAAGACACUAUGGUGCGAACUUUUCAGUGGGAGGAAAAGUGCACUGAUGGGUAACACAAAUACAAAUGAAGGGCAAAUCUAUGUCAACAUAAUCACAGUAUCCUAUGCCAUUGAACUUCUCCUUGCAAACUGCCAGACAGGUUUCAAGAUCAUCCUUAGGACAUACAUUGGGUAUAAACUUUUUGCAAGUAAGUUCUCGUGCAUGAGUAUUCCCUGCCGCUGCCCCCAAGAAAAAAAAAAGAAAAAAAAAAAACAGACACAAACACAUUACUCAUGAGAAUGUUAAGUAAUUUGAAAAAAAAGAAAUAUCUAAUGAAUUAGUCUAACUGAAUUUAAUAUUCAAUUAUGAAUAAAGACUACCUCUCAACUAGCAUAUAAUAUCUUACGGUAUAAGCACAUGCAGAUAUUAUUUUCUGAACUUUGGUUUAAAAGAAUAAAAAAGAGAACAUAACCACAUUAAGAGAAAUGAAGUACAAAAUAACAUGUAUUUAUAAAUUGAAUAAUGCACAUACCUAAAAGAACAAGAGCAAGAAGCAGGAUGCAAGCAUAAGAAGUUUGAGCAGCCAUAUCUAUAGGUAAGGUAUUUCGUCUAAGAGCUUUUUAUCUAUGUGAG
rnacentral:lncRNA from 1 species